rnacentral:rRNA from 1 species
UACGUAGGGACCAAGCGUUGUCCGGAAUUAUUGGGCGUAAAGAGCUCGUAGGCGGUUUGUCGCGUCUGCCGUGAAAGUCCGGGGCUCAACUCCGGAUCUGCGGUGGGUACGGGCAGACUAGAGUGAUGUAGGGGAGACUGGAAUUCCUGGUGUAGCGGUGAAAUGCGCAGAUAUCAGGAGGAACACCGAUGGCGAAGGCAGGUCUCUGGGCAUUAACUGACGCUGAGGAGCGAAAGCAUGGGGAGCGAACAGG